GGGGAAGCAGCAAGAUGGAGGAGGAGAAGAAGAAGGAGAUAGCAGGUAGAAGGAAAAGCCCUGUAGGAUUUGAAGUGUGACAUGUGUCAGCUCUCUUCUAAUGAAGAGUCCAAGAAGAUGGUUGCUUUCUGCUCUUGAAACCAUGGCAGAAAUAAGCCUGAGGAACAACAAUAACUUGUUUUAUCACUGUUCUGUACUGUUUCACAGCCACCCACAGAGAAACUGAUAAGAGGGAGCCGCAGUGGUACGUGUGGGGUGUUCAGCCUGGAGCUGGAUCUGUGCUGGAGCACCACAGACUGGGAUAAUCCAGCGUCUGACCGGGGACACUGCUGCGCCACGCGACCUGCUAGCAGCUGCGCUAGGGACCCGCAGGGCUCCAGUUUGCCAUACUUCUUCACUGGCAGCAGGGAGAGGUACACUUCUGUUUCUGUAUGACAGGAGACUGAGGUAAUUUUGUGUCCGCUUUUUAAAAUUUUGGACAAAAUGGCAUCCGGAAGGAGGGCAUCGAGACAGUGUCCUGUGCUGUAGCAUCACUGAUCAUUCUGGGAAACAUCUGGUAACUGCAUUUCGUGGCAGGUUGAGGUCAGGCUGCUGCCUAGCUCUGAGCUAUUUCCUUUAAUGUAGCUCUAGUCUGCGGCCAGUCUGUCUCACUGCCUUCACACCAGUUUGUGCUGGCCUGUGCUUGCCCAACACCAGCUGCAGUGCGACUGAGCGGGGCUGGUGAGAUGCCCUGUGGUGGUGGCUCGCUGCCCCGUCCUUGUGGCAAGCAGGGAUCUGCAAGCCUUGUGGCUCUUUCUGCUGAGAUACUCAAAGCUUAGGAUACUGGGUUAGGGCUACAGUGAGAGCGAUGGGGUAGUGAUCUCUGAGUUGCAUGCUUUCAGGAAAACACAGUUUUCUGUCUUUUAGCUGGGCACUUUUAAAAAUGAUGGUGAUUUAUUUAAAUAUACUUGUCUGACCUGCUCUCGCUGUCCCUUGAGUACUGGUGCUCAGACACCCAGAACUGCCAACUAUUUGUCUGCUCUAUCGUGACUGUCUGCACUUUCUACAAAAGGGCACUGAAGCACAGCUGAUGUGAGAGGGUGCUCUGAGCCGAGUUUAUGCCCCUAUCUUUUGUUAUCAGCCCGACAGCCAGUUCCUCAUCCCGGAAAGCUACAGCUGGAUCUGUGCAGUGCAGUCACCGGGGGCUUGCCUGUGCAGCAUUCAUUCAGAAGCGGAUGCUGGCAGGCCUCAGUAACAAACCCACAUCUGUAUUCCUGGUCUCGAGCGGAGCCGCAGGUGUGACUGACUGCAGGGAAACUGAGAGGAAGCCACCCAGUCUUCAUGGCCAACAAAAACACCAAAAAUCUAGGAAAGCAUUCUGUGUCACCAGCACAGAGUCAGAGGGCACAAAUUAGGGAAUCCCAAAAAUGGGUAAAACGGCAAAUAAAACAAUUACAGCAGGAAGAAGGAAAGUAAUAAGGCUGGGCAGGAAAGCCAGAUGUGUGGAUGGAGUUACCUGCAAGAUGGAUUUUAGAGGCUGGGAGUAGGCAUGACUUUUUGGAAGUCUUGUCUUUGGACUUCAUCUCUUCUUCAGAUUUCUCUUGUGGCUGUAUGUUUUCCGUGGUUUCAGCUGAGGAAUGGAUUUUUUGACCUGCUAGUUCAUGUGCCUUCCUGUCUGGGCUGCUCUACCUGGAAUCUGCAGACGAUUUUGCUGCCCGCGUGGGAGGCUCUGGCUGCUGAGCAGGCUGCCUGCAACUCUAUUCCUUCUUUCAGGGUGCACCAAAAUAUUAAAUAUCAUUAAAAAAAAAGUGUCUGCAUCUCAAGCCCUUGAUACUGGCCAGCUUGCUUUUUACUCGUGUGUCCUGCUGCUCAGUAUGGCCCUGACUGGUGUUUUGCCAGCUCGUGUCCUUAUGAGUGAAUAUUCCUUUCCUACGCUGAUCUGAAACAGCAUGUUUCUGUACAACAGAGCCCAUUUGUUGAACCACCUAAUAGGAACUAAAUGUUACCAGAUUCCUGUGCUAAUGAGAAGCUUCUAGGUCUCAGUACUGGCAAUAAAGAGAAGGAAACCCUUACGGACCUUUCCUGCUCAGCGGAAGGAGCACUGCACUGGGCUCGGUGGCCACUCCUGCUCUGUGGUCUCGUGGGGCCUCCAGGGGGGCUUGAGGCCAGGCUCGCUGACCUGUUGGGGAGUGGGCAGGCUGCUUUAUGGCAACUCGGGUAGUGUUACGUGGACGGGAAGCUGAUGGAUGUCUGCCUGUGCAGUGGAGGGCACCGAGAUAUACACUCGUUGUUCACAUUAAUGCUCUAUUGCUCUGCUUUGGCCGCAAAUCACUGUGAGAGCAGGGAGGAUACCUCGCCGCUAAUAUUGACCCAUCCCUCUACAGUGGUCUUGAGACUCUGUACCUGGGGGGAGAUAAUGUUUUUAGGCAGCUUUAGUGCCUGGUUUCAGUGCAGACACUGUCUGUGCCAGACUCACUAAAGCCCUAGGUCCCCUGGAGGACCUGGGGAUGAAGGCAGGCUGCGUGCCAGGCAGGGGCUUGUAGGCACCUCUUCCUUUUGUGCUGUCCUGGGGUGCUGCAGAGGCAAAAGCAGCGUGUGCUUGCUCUCUCUUUCCCUGCGGGGCUGCAAGGCACGGACUGAGAAAAGACAAAACACAUCCAGGAUACAUCUUUAACUUUGUAUAUUCUGCCAGCGUAUGAGCCAGCACAAUUCAUACUUAGUGGACUUGAGCAUCGGAGCAGUUAUUUACGGUCAGCUUACCGUUGUGCUUACGGUAAAUAACCACCAGCCUGCAGUGCGAUUCCCUCCUGUGGUGCCUCUGGAGCCGCUCUGAGCUGCACCAUCCUUUGUUAAGGAUGCAACACGGCACUAAAACAAGUAAAUAUAAAUUGUUGUUUCAGUCAGCUUUUUGAUGGCUUUGUGCAGAAAAUGGGAGCGGGUGUGCUCUCCACAGGUGUCUGUGGAGACGGUUAGAGGAAGCGUGUGGAAGAAACAGACUGAUAAAAGAUCAGGAACAAUAUCAGCUGAUAACAAAAAUCUCUCUUCUGCGAUAUAACAUAGGAAAUGCAUCUGAGAAAUAUUUUGGAAAGUGUUUUAAAGUAUUCAUUAUGUUUCCCAAGAUAGACUGAGGAGAAAUAGAAUUAUUUUUGAUGAAACAAAUUGAUCUCUCAUCGCUAGACAUUUUCUUCCUCUGGAAACUGAUGAAUUUAACAUCACGUUAGCUUUUGCAAAUGUCACAUGAAAUAGAUGAGGAAAGCAACUUGGGAGAAAAGCUGUAAUCAAUCACAAGGUGCCACAGUUCUCCCUUCUCUGUUGAUCAUCUUCCCAGAAAGCAAUUUGAGGAGGGAAAGAUUACAAGUAUAAAGAAAAUAAAAACAAAUACCCCUCCCCUUUGUGAAGGCAGAUUAAGUGAGUCAACAGCCAUCUUCCUCUUGCAGAAGAAAACCCAGAGGCUGCAGGGUGGUCCAAGUUUUACUAAAAACACCUCUUAACUUAUUUGAAUACAAACAGAAAUGAUAGUGCUGUAUAAAUGUCCCGUUCUGUGAGCUGUUAGUUGAGCUUCUAAAGCAAAAAAGAAGUAAUUGGGAAAGGAGCAAAACGAGAGGGUGCCGCGAAAAGAACCCAAAAUUUAAGAUAAUGCUGUGAGGUCAGACUAGAUGAUCAUAAUAGCCUUAAAACCAACGGAAAUCUUUUAUACUACCAAAUUGUGCUCUCACUUUUUCCAGGAAUGGCUCCAUUGACUCUCGGGAUUUGUACCUUAGUUACGUGCAGUUCUUCAGUUUGUUAUUCUCCUGUCAUUUCUAUUAAACCGUUGCUGCCUUUUCACGUCAUUCACACAGGUGGUCCCCUUCUCUCCACACUUCACAGCUGCCUGCUGAAGGCUAGGGCUUUCAAGGUGCUCGCAGCAGACACUGGAAGCACAGAUGUGCCACCUCCCUGCCCUUUCGCAGACUCUGUGCUUUGUGCUCUGCUCUGAAGGCAUGCUGGAGGAGAAAUAAUGCUUCUGUGCUGCAGAUGGCCUUAUUUUAGACGUAGCCUAUGGUGAGCUUUUCAGCUUGACAUUUCAAGAAUGAAACAAGCUUCUGCUUAAAGAUUUGGGCAAGUAUUUCCUGUAGACUUGCACUCUGUAGUGGUUGAUGUGACUAUAGCAGCUUGUUUUCACUUGCCCAGGUGUGAAGUGGGUCAGUAUCUAAAGGAGUAGCACUGUUUCAAAAUUUCAGUGACUUGAAUUUUGCAGUCAGAAGUCAUGUGCCAAAUGCCAUGAGAAUGAAGGGAAAGGUCUUUAAGAUCUUGCCUUCAAGAGUAAAGAAGAAAGAUUUCUUAUCCUCUUGGUGGUUAAAAUUUCACACUUUAGGUUGUGUGUUUCAGAGACUCUCCAGGGAAAAAAAAAACAAACAUAACAACAAAUCAUUCAUAUGUGACCUUUGAGUAUCAGCGGUGGCGUGGAUGGGUGGGGGUUAAAGAAAGAAAGAAAUCACGUGAGGCUAGUUGUGCUUGCUGCUCUGUACCCUUAGCAGGUAACUCUGCUCCCACAUCUGACCCAGGUGGCAGGUCAGCAGGGUGCCUGUGAGAGCACUACCUCUGGGUUGGCCCCGGGGUGCCCGUUUUCCUCAUCCAGUGCUGCCACAGCUGUGCGUGGAACUGGCCUCAGAGCCUCGAGCUUUGAUAGCUCUUGUUUCCAUGGGAAGGAUGCUUUGUGAGCUUCUUUCCAUUUCCCAUCUCUUCUUCAGCUGCAGACCCCUGGGCCUACAGAAGCCUCCUGUGGGAUGGAGGGAUGGGAAAGGCGCUGUGUCGAAGAGAGCAGCCUUCUGUAUCUGCAUGCAAACUGAGCUGUUGACUUGGCCAUCAGUGUGGUUCAGUAGAUGAUCUUUUCCCUGUGUUUCUGCAUCAAGCAUUAGAGCUGAUGUAAUAUGUCUUUGCUUUAAACAUACCAGAGUGCUGGGUCAUUAAAGAAGUCAGAAAACAUCUGUAAGAAAGGAAAAUUCCAGUGAGUGUUAUUUUCUUAGCUCUGGCUGCUGACAGUGUUGUUGGGGGCUUGGUCUGUGUUUGGCUGUCGCUUGCAAUGUGCUCAAAUGUGUAAGGAUCUUCAUGUUCUGUAAUGAUCCGAGACCUUCUGUAUCACUCUCCACUGAUCUGAAAAAUAAGCAAUUUCAGAGGAGUUGUCAUCAAAGCUGGAAAAAGCUUCUGAACAGUGGAGUUUCUUUUUUUUUUUUUUUUAAAUCCUACAUAACCCCUGUGUCUGAAGCGCUGGGAGAGCGUGAGUUCAGUAGGCAACUUCAAACGAUAUCUCACCAUGGCGUUGAGCUCUUCUACUGUGACCUUUCUUUUGAAAAAAGUUUUUCUUUUAUUUUCUGGUUCAGAUCACAAUGUAGGCCUAUGGAAGUGCCAAGGAUAACGGUCAGCAAGGCUUCUAAACCUUAGAUUCAUAGAAAGAGUAGGAGUGCAGGAAUUUGGCUGAAGCUGGAAGACGAGAAAUAAAAUGGAGAUGUGGAUAAGCCAUUUUCACCAGAAACUAUGAAACAAUCUUAGUUUUCAUGACAAAUCUUUAACCGCUCUUGCCUUUGUAAGCCUGGCAAGAAGGACAGCCAGAAAGCACAUACCAGAGAUUACACGUUUUUUUUUUUCUCCUGUAUAUUCUUCAGUAAAUUACAAGAAACAAACAAUAUUAGGAAGAGUUUAAAACUUUGUAUACACUUGACAUCAAGAUAACACUUCAUCUAUAGGCUUUGGAUGUUGAUGAGGACUGGUCCAGGAAGCUGUCCUGGAUCAGCAUGGUCCAGGAAACCAACUGUUUCAUAAGAUGGAUCUAUAAGGUGUAAAGGCAGACAUAUUCUGGCUGUAAAUUAAAGACGUGAAGGAUGUUCUCUGGGCAUACAGAGAAGUGGCUACUGUUCAUGUGUAGGUACGUUGUGUGUGUGUGUGUGUGUGAUAGCUCCAGUGCCAGAUGAGUGGCAGCACCUGCAGGACAUCAGUCUUUGCGUUAGUCACCAUUAGUGCUUUUUGUGAGUCUGUUGCAUUGGACUUGCUGCAGUGUUGACGCUUCUGGCUGGGAGCAAGCCCUCAGUAGGUGUCUCUGCAUGGGGCAAGGCAGCUGCAGCUCCAUCCUCCCAGAUACAGCCAGGUACACAUGCAAGGGUGAGUACCUAUUCUUGUGUGUAGAGAUAUAAAUACGUACGCACAUGGCUGGCCCCACAGAUCAGCACAGCCAGGAAAACACAGCGCUCAUGCAAAAGUAAAUGGCAUCAGGGGUCCGGUUUUGUUCCCCUCUGGCUAAUCAGGAUGGAAAUCCCUUAGGGGAAAGUGUAUAUAUAUACGUAUGUAUGUGUAUAUAGAAUAUGGCUCCUUCCAGCAGCUGGUUUUAGACUCGCUGUGCCCAGGAGGUAGCCCCUGGCCCCCAGGUCUCCCAGCUGCUGGCAGCUGGCACGCCAGCCCCACUCCAGGUGCUGGUAGACAGACCCCCGAGCACAAAUAGGCGCAGACACACAGCAAGGAUGCUCUGUACACUCUACCUAUUAGCCAGCCAUGGGAUUCUUUAGUCUUCCAUUGCCUCAUGCACGGUGGCACACAUGGUUGAAUGGGUCUCUCAGAUGAGCCCAGGCCUCAUGGUCUCUCCAGUGAUUUCUCAGUUCCUCCAGUAGCCAGCACUCAGAUCCUGUGCUCUUUCCAGACUUGUGGCUAUUUUGUUUUCUGGCUCCCAGGCCUCUUACCCUUCUCAGCAGCUAGUUCAACUUGAUACUUCUAGCAAUUACAUCCUGACGUAUGUACAGCCUGAUGCGUGCACACUCUGUCCAGUCUUUCCAGUCCCUGGUAACAUGGACACAGGGGGGUCUAUGACUUGUGGGCUCUGCUCCAGUUGCAGGCUCUUAGACAACUCAUGCACUCCUGUCUCUCCAGUUGCUGGUACUGUAGGUGCACUUGGACUUGGUUUGAAAUCAAUAAAUACAUUUUAAAACUCAGAAGACUGGACUGAUAGAGCAGAUGCUGAGAAAAAGAGAAUUAUUUCUGGAAGGAGUCAGUCACUGAAACAGUUAAAAAGCUGUAUCAUAAGCUGUUCUCUGAUCUUAUAUAAUGGCUGGCAUAGCUUCCUCCUAGCUUGUAUUCCUGUUUGCAGUAACUUGUGCAGCUACAGCUGAGAUUUUCUUUUAUCACUUUAGAAACUUUAUAUUCCCAUACAGAGUAAUUUAUUUGUAUAAAUAUUCUACCUGACUGAUGUUUCAAUGACAUUCAUGUACUUCCACUAACCUACUGGUUUAGUCUCUGCAUGUUUCUUGACCUUUUUCCUCCUCGUUAUCUGUUUUUCUCUUCUGUAUGUUCUAGUAUUUAUCUGCCUCUUUGAGGAGUCUCAGGCAUGAAUAGCACUCUUUCUUCAGAUGCUUAUUUCCAUGAUCCCUUUUGUUCAUAUCUGUGCCUCUCCUCUUCCUUUGUUGAAGUUCUGUGAUAUCCAAAUGUCUCAGCAUCUCCAAACCUGUUACCCAUAUUCCCCUCUAAAUAACAGCUUACUGCUUCAAAAAGGGUACUUUGAUAUGACUUUUCCUGCUGUUAUCCUAUUCUAAUUACUUUCUCUACAGGCUUUUUUCUUCCGCCUGGAAAGUCUCCCUCUCUUGUUCUCAGUGUCACUGUGAUCUGCUUGCCUGCUGGACCAUCCUCUGACUGCACUAGCAAGGUAGUGAUACCUACUCAGAAGUGUGUGACAAACAUAUGUAUACACAUAUACACAUACUCAAAGUGUGUGACAUACAUACGUAUGUAUCCACAUAUACACGUACAUGCGUAGCAUUACGUACACAGAACUGCUUCCUAUGAGCUGUUCAUCUUCUCUGAGCAUCUGCUACACAUCUUUUUCCACUGAAGCCUUGUUAGCUCUAGUCCCUCAAGUUCCUUUCCAGUUUCCCUGAUUCUGAUUUUCUCUUUGAGUUUCCAGUCUUCCUGCUUUUCCUUUUCACACCUUCAUUCUGAGUUCCUCUGUCUUGACGCGCAUCUCCUUAUCUCUUGCUGUCCAAUCCAGGUUCUGGAGAUCCUGUUAGCUUUCCAGUUUCUGCCUAAUGCUGUAUGUAUUUUCUUUUUUUAAUUGAUGAUACUGUCUUACUAUACCCAUGAUGUUACCUGAGAAGACUUUGAUGGUUGUUUGUCUGCUCUCCCUUUUUGUGCACAUACUGCCAAUAAAAUGACUUUAAC